GGGAAGGAGAAGAGGAAGAAGGAGGAGGAGGAGAAGAAAAGGAGAAGAACAUGUUCCCCCUGAGCUCUGCAGCCAUUCACAUCCUCACAGUACAGGGAAGAAGGUGCUGUGUGGGCAGAGGAGUGUUGAACAUCCCUCUCCUCCAGGUGUAUCCUGGCCCCAGAGCCAGUUCUGCUCCAACCCCGGCUCUGAAGGGACACAAACCCUCAGUGCUGUUCUGUCUGCAGAGUGCUGUGACAUCCCCUCCAGUGUCAGCUCAGGGAGUCCCUGCCCUGGGCUGUGGAACAGUUCCCUGUGCUUUGAUCUCCCGUGUUUGGGGGGUGUGCUCUGGAGUGCUGGAGCCUCUGCAAGUGCUGAACACUGACCCUGGGUUUUGCCUUCCAGGCCGAAGCUGGGAAGAGAGACCCGAAGAGAGAGGAAGGGAGCAGAGCAAGGUCCUGAAGUGAUUUAUAGAAAUGUUUGUCUGCUCUAGAACACCAGGACCCAGAAACGGGGUUGGUUUGUGCCAUUUCAAGCUGUUCUGUGGAUGCUGGUUGUAGUAAACUUUCUGUUUGU